CCUUGCUGCAGCAAGCCUCCAUCUUGCGGUCUCUCACUGAGGACCAAGAGACAUUGGUGUGCAGGAGAUUCAGUGUGUGUGUUUGUCAUUCCCAUGUGGAUUUUUUUCAAAGACAUUGUCAUCUGUGUAGAAGCCAGUUUCGAUCUCUGGUUUCUACCCCUUGCCCUGCUGGCAGGGCAUUGUGCGGCACCCGUUGCAGGCCACCUGGGUGCAGGAGAUCGAGGAGGGUGAAGGGAGGAGCAACCCUGAGCAUCUGCCAUCCAGCUCCAUCCAAUCUAGAGCAAUUCCAGGAUGGAGCGAAUAAGGCAGAUGCUCAGGAGGAAGGCCGGGCAGGUGGCUCCAGAGCCAGCAGUAAACAUCAGCCAGCCUUCCCAGGAGGAGAGCAGCCCCUCUGUCCCCGCGGGCGGGGAAGAGGCUUGUGGCCGGGGAAAGAGAGGAGCUGUGUCGCAUACUGGAGGAGGAGGAAGACACCAGCUCCCCUAGCUGACCCUGAGGCACCUUCUGGGCAGAAAUGGAGGUGGCCCCGGGUUCAGCUGUGGAGGAGAGAGCCAGGAGA